CAUAGUGUAGCUUACCACAAAGCAUCUGGCCUACACCCAGAAGAAUCCACAAUACAUGGACACUCUGA
rnacentral:tRNA from 1 species